rnacentral:rRNA from 1 species
CCUACGGGGGGCAGCAGUGGGGAAUAUUGGGCAAUGGGCGCAAGCCUGACCCAGCAACGCCGCGUGAAGGAAGAAGGCUUUCGGGUUGUAAACUUCUUUUGUCAGGGACGAAGCAAGUGACGGUACCGGACGAAUAAGCCACGGCUAACUACGGGCCAGCAGCCGCGGUAAUACGUAGGUGGCAAGCGUUAUCCGGAUUGACUGGGUGUAAAGGGCGUGUAGGCGGGACGGCAAGUCAGAUGUGAAAACCCCGGGCUCAACCUGUGGCCUGCAUUUGAAACUGUAGUUCUUGAGUACUGGAGAGGCAGCCGGCCUUCCUAGUGUAGCGGUGAAAUGCGUAGAUAUUAGGAGGAACCCCAGUGGCGACGGCGGUCUGCUGGACAGCAACUGACGCUGAGGCGCGAAAGCGUGGGGAGCAAACAGGAUUAGAUACCCUUGUAGUC